rnacentral:rRNA from 1 species
AUUGAACGCUGGCGGCAUGCCUUACACAUGCAAGUCGAACGGUAACAGGUUAAGCUGACGAGUGGCGAACGGGUGAGUAAUGUAUCGGAACGUGCCCAGUCGUGGGGGAUAACUACUCGAAAGAGUGGCUAAUACCGCAUACGACCUGAGGGUGAAAGCGGGGGACCGUAAGGCCUCACGCGAUUGGAGCGGCCGAUAUCAGAUUAGCUAGUUGGUGGGGUAAAAGCCCACCAAGGCGACGAUCUGUAGCUGGUCUGAGAGGACGACCAGCCACACUGGGACUGAGACAAGGCCCAGACUCCUGCGGGAGGCAGCAGUGGGGAAUUUUGGACAAUGGACGCAAGUCUGAUCCAGCCAUGCCGCGUGCGGGAAGAAGGCCUUCGGGUUGUAAACCGCUUUUGUCAGGGAAGAAACGAGUUUCUCUAAUACAGAGACUUAAUGACGGUACCUGAAGAAUAAGCACCGGCUAACUACGUGCCAGCAGCCGCCGUAAGAC